CCUUGUCCACCUCUUCCCCAGGAGACCGCGUCAUCUCUCCAGUCAAGUACUCAGUCCCAAGCUCCUUGCGCACAAACCGGUAGAGUGGGUACGACCGGCAUUCGGUGAUACGGUUCUGCUGCGCGGCGGUGCCGUUCUCCACUGAGGUCCGUGCAGCCUCGACCUCCCUUGGUAGAACUGCACGGAGCUCCUGCUCGAACGUGGCAAGCUUGGCAAACACCGACGUCUCCACAUCGCGCUCGGCCUCACCGUUGGCCAAAGCGUGCUCGACGAGAACUGCACGCAUCUUUUGCAUCAGUGGGUAGUUGGAGCUGCAAGGGUCAUCUGCAUACGCGAACACCGCCUCACGGUCGAUCGUGAGCAGCAAGUCCUUCUCGCAGAAGCGUGCGUUGUGGAGAUGUCCAUUGUUGUUGGUGCUGAGUGUCUUCCUGGCUGCCAUCUUCACACAGCUCUUGACGGCAUCCUUGAUAUUCUCCUCGAGGUGACGGAGGUCGAUGGCCUGGCACAAGGCGACCAUGAAAGUAGAGGACAUGAGCUUGAGUAUGUCAAUGGCCUCGGCGGUCUUCCUGGAGGAGAUAAGACCAAGAGAGUUGACAUCUUGGUUGUGUUGCUCGGCGCUCUGGACAUGGUUGGUCACCGGGUUGCCUAAGAACUGGAGCUCGGAGCAGUAUGAGGCCAUGGCAAUCUCAGCACCCUUGAACCCAUAGUCCAAACUCGGGUUGCGCCCGCCGGAGAGGUUGGAAGGCAGACCGUUGUUGUAGAAGUCGUUCACCAGCUCUGAGAACUGCGCAAACAUGAGCUUGCCGAUCGCAGCAAUGGCGAGCCUUGUGCCAGGAUGGCCUUGCCGCGGGAGACGUCGAUCAGUGGGUUGUCGUUCACGGAGUUGAUCUCCCGCUCGAUUGACUUGGUGGCAGCGCGUAUCACCUCUACCUGGGGGCCAAGCCAUUGUGGCGAUGUUCGGAGUGCAUACCUAUCUUGCUUUGGCUUCAUCAACGGGUCAAGCUCGCCGAGCUUCUUUGCGAGUGCCAUGUAGGAGCUUCCUUCAAGGAUGUGCUCCAUGAUGGCGGCAGCCUCAAUCUGCCCGGGGUGGUGCUUUAGCUUGUGUGUCAAGUGGUCAGUGUACUCCGGCUUACCGUUCAUGACCUCGCAGAAGACGGCUGAUAGAACCUCGGCAAGGAGGCUGAGGAUGUUAGCCUCGAAAAGCACCAUGGACGCAAGCCCGGAGCCCACUGCUGUGCCGUUCACCAUGGCAAGCCCUUCCUUGGGCUGCAGCUCAAAGAAGCCAUGCUGGAUGCCGGCGAUCUUGAAGGCCUCCGCUGCGUUAACCUUGCUGCCGUCCGGAGCAGUGGCCAUGGAAUUUGCCCGACCGGUCACCAGGCCCGCGAUAUAGGAAAGCGGAACAAGGUCGCCGGAGGCGGUGAUCGUGCCCCGGAGCGGCAGGCAUGGUGUCACGUUGGCAUUGAGAAGCGCAGCGACCGUCUCGAGGAUCUCAAAGCGGAUGCCAGAGUACCCCUGGAGCAGAGUGUUGACACGGACAAGCAUCGCCGCCCUCGUCGCUGCGGCGGGAAGAACAUGGUCGUGGCCACCUGUGCCGAAGGCUCCGGCAUUAAGGAAUCUGAACAAACAAGAAGUGCACAAGAAAAUAAGGCAUCCAGAUCACUAAAAAAAUGAGGAGUACAGGACGAUCAACAACUGAAUAUCUAACUUGUUGGUGGUUUAGUUUAACUGAUUCGUACCUGAUGAGCUCCCUCUGGAGAGCGCCACCCUCCUUGGUCCUCCGGUGGGAUGUGGCGCCGAAGCCUGUGGUGACACCGUAGCUGUCGGUGCCGUUUGCCAUGCUGUUCAUGACCCAGUCACUGCUCUCCUUGACCCGGCCUCGGGCAGACUCGUCGAGCUCCACCCUGGUCUCACUACCGGCGGCCACAGCGGCGACCAUGGCAAUGGUCAGGCUAGCACCCUCCAUGGUCACCACUGGCCUACGGUACUCCUGGACCAUCUGCUUCACCGCGUCCAAAUGGCUCCCGGACAGCUGCUCCGCUGCCUUGCCCCAGUUCAGCGGGUCGGCCCGCGCAGGCUGCGCCACGCCCAAGCUGUUGCCGUUGCCGGCGACCUGCCCGUUCUCGCACUCCAUCCAGAUAUGCAAAUUAAGAAGCAAGCUAGAAACUUGGCAGCUGUAAGUAUGUGUAUCUGGAUGAACUCUGUAAGUGGUAGAAGGACUUGCGCUGAAGUGGAGCUCAAAUUGGAGAGGAAAGCGAGGGAGGCUCUUGUUGGAGAGGAAUGGAGGAAGAGCAUGGGUUAAAUAGGUAGGGUGGUGGGUGGGUGUGGACUUGACCGCUGGAUUGGUCCUAGUCAGGGUUGGUGUAUUCUUGUGUUAAUCAUGCAUGCAACGACCCUGUUUGCUCUUAGGAGAAACGAAUCUAGCUACUUGGUCCAAGCCACUCGUCUUCUUCCUUCUAAUGGUGAACGUUUCAAACAAGCGUACGUAGUGGCUGCUUGCACGAUGCAUAAACUACUAUAGGAAAUCUUAUUAAAAAACAGCUACACGGAGGUAUGGUCUUUGCUUUGACAAAGUAUCUGUGAGUCCAAAGCUGGACAAACAGGAGUUGUUAUCUGCUAAUGAUCCAUAAGAGCUUUCACUUUCACUAGUAUUUUGUUGGGUGCAACGAACCCCACAUAUUCUCACGUGCUCGGUCAUAUGGGUGGGUGCAAGUGAGAGAUAUUCCGGUUUGCAGUGGUCCUAGCGCGUUGCAUGUAUGCCACCGUGUGAAAGAUACAGUGCCACUUGACUUGCCAGAUUUCUUAGUGCAACAUGACUUGCGAGACAUGAGUUUGCUCGGUGGAAACGAUUUCUUAGAAAAAGCAACGGCCAUCCUCUCGUCAGUCAUCCGCGUGCACAUGUGAAUGCCAUCACAAGCAUGCCACAGAAAAUUAGGACCAUAUAUGCGUGAGUGGUCAAGUCGUUGGUCAUACCAAGUCGUGUGUGAUAUUUCAUUGCUAAACUCGUUAAAUCUCAGUCGACUGAGAUUUAGCGGAAUAUCAGUCGACGCACCCCCUUUUUCGGAUCUUUUUUUGCUUCAAUUAAAUCUCAGUAGUGACAAUUAAAUUUAUGCAAACAGUGGACCAAAUUGUUACUUUGUGAAGUCAAUUAAUCUAUUUAGCUUUUCCACGCAAAAGGAGAAUAAUUACCCAAUAUAUUUUUUUCAGAAAUUUAACCCAAUGUUCGUAUGGGUGCAGCAAGAUUAUCCGUUAGGCUCUGUAGCACACAUAAGAAAUCACAUGAUUUGGCUAUCUAAGAUAUGCAGAAUCAAAUGCAAUGCAUGUGUAGUGCAGAUAAAAAUCAAAAUAUUGUAAAAGAUGGAGCUCGUACGUACCAAACCUGCCAGAUGGCUUUAUAUGAAGUUCAGAAUUAGGAUUAGGCUGCACAUCAAGAAGCGCCAAUUCAUUCUCAGACAUUUAUACUUAUCCGGAGAACAACAUAGAGUUGGGCUGCACAGUGUUCCAGCAUGUACAUCUGGGAAAAUAACAAACUGAAGAUCAACACAGGAGCACUUGAACUUAAACUGCAGAAGCAUUGUUGUAGUCCGUAGGUCGCCGUCCUCGCCAAGUUCAAGCUAGCAAGCACCUCGGAACUACCAGCAAGCGGCACAAAACGUACAAACACAACAUAAGAACAGGAAAUUAAUCUAACAACAAAGAAAGAAACCCAGAACAUAUAGGAGGCUCGAGCUCACCAUUGCUACUUUGACCUUCAUCGGAGCUGUGCAGACCAUGGAAAUCCAUCAAAAAAUACAGAAGAUUAAUCCUCCAAAGCACCACCAGAAAUCCAAAAAUACAAUAGCUAAUAAGUGCAUGCACUGACGGCCUGACGGGCCAAUCGCAAGGAGAAGAGAUGCUCAAGCUCUUUUUCAGUUGGGCUUGUGAGUGUUCAUAGCGACAUAAAGAGGGCAUUUGUGAGGCCAGCGACCUUCUCCUUCCCGAACUCAUCCGCUGGAAACGUGGCCGAUGGUCAUGGUAUGUCUGAGACCGUCGACGCGAGGAGGGCAUGGAGCAGAGCAACCCGUGCGCACACAUACUCGCUUGGCUUCGCAGGGAUGGCCGCAUCAGGCCGCGAUGGUGAUGGACGCGUCUUGUGCGUCCGAGGACGCCAGCGGGAGGAAGCCCGGAGUAGGAGCGGCGCGUCAGGAGAGCCGGGAGCAGACCAACGGCGUGCGCACAUGCUGAUUCGGCUGCGCGAGGAUGGCCUCAUCUCGAUGACUCUUUCCACGGAAAGGAUGAAGGGAUCCAACGUGAGCGCCCAUAGGGAUAGCUAGAGCUCCGAUAUGCCUACAAUCAGAAGGCCCAUCAGGGACGAAUUGCAGGGAUCCCGAAACGGGAAGCAGUGCGUUGGAGCGGGAGGAAGAGUACGGGGGACGGGGAGGCUUGGGAAAGCCGAGGGGAGGGGAAGGGGAAGAAUAAGCGGUGGCCAGGGAGAGGAAGCGGAGAAGGCCAACUCGCUCGCCUCGGUUUCCAUACUGUAUUAAUUGAUUGCGUGGCUCAUAAUAAGUCGAAAGUGGAACACGCAUGCUAAUGGUGAAGCUGACGUGCAUGUUUUCUAUUGUGGUGGGCAGUGUGGGCCCCGCAUGUAAGCCUAUGACCAAAUGUUGAUGUGGCACUAUUGCUGAUGUGGAUGGGCUGCAUGUCAAGAGAAAUACCAUAGUGGGGAUGAACUAUUUAGGUAUUAUAGAUAAGGACAACUUGACAUAUUGCAUGACCUUAUUUUCUUAAUUCAGUGUAAAGUUUCUAUGCAUGAAAUUUAAGGUUUGUACCAAAUUGAAGCUACAUGCUUUUGUGCAGGACUAUAGAUUUGUGAUAUAUGACUCUGAAAAGCCAUCUUUGGCCCAUCAGAAUGAAGAGACAAAUCAAAAGAGACAUAGGGUGAUUUGGGAGGGAAUAAUGAAGAGCCAUAUAUCUUCUACAAGUCCACCUAUGGGGAGAUGUUCAUGGAGCCUUCGGCUCAUCAGAAUGUAGGGAAAAUCCAAAGGAGACAUCCAGAGACUUGGGAAAGGGGACCAAGAAAGAGCCAUGUUUCCUUGACAUCCCUAUAUAUGUAUAUAUAUAUUAUAUUAUAUAUCAUCAGAUGUCCAUGGAGCAGAAUAUCAUGGGAAGUUUUCGAGCUCUCUCUCAGCAAUUUCAGGUAAGAACUACAAAUACCUUAUUUCAAUACUCCCAUGUGCAAAGCGACAUUGACCAUGCGAUACCCAUCAUUGAUUCUUGUUCACAUGUACAACUCCCUGAAGCAAAAGUUAUGGUGAAUUUGGGGAACAUAUAUAGGAUAGCACUAUCAGUUCCUUCCAGUUUCGUCUGAUUAUAAACAUGUUGUUAGAAAUAGUUUAUCUAUGCAUGGAGUAUGUGACAAUCUUGAGAACACAUCAAAACAGGGAUUGCAUUAUUUUUCUAAUUAGCAUAAGUGGGAUAGAUUAUUUGGAUUUAAUUACUUCGGCUGAUUUCAUUUAAGCAUACUGUGAAAGAUCUCUUAUAAUGGAAUUUGCAUUUUCUUACAAGGUUUACAAAACGUAAAGAGAAAAAGGCGCCCGAGGCUAUAUCCGUUUAGACUUACUUAUAAGCAUUCAGGAACAGAGAGAGACAAGUCAUCUGCAUUAGAGCAUUAAAAUCAAACCAAAACAUUUUACAAUCAUGCUUCCAUUACAUGUCAGACUAGAAUUGGUCAACAGAAAACUAAAAUAGAAUAAGAAUUCAUAGAAGGCAUCACAUCAUAUUGAUAUAACUAGCAACUACAGAGAGACAACAGAACAGUGACUUAAUUUGAAGGCAUCAUGUUGUUCCUCACGCCUUAUGGCGGUAGAUGUUCGGUGUUGUCUCCACCAGACGAUUGAUCUCAAAAAAGGACCGCUAUAAUUAUCACGAUUUUUUUUAUCAUACACUGUACUCUUUUAGCUUACGUCAUAUAAGUUGUACAAGUCAUGCAGUUGCAAUUUUUGGCAAGAACAUGGCAGCUCUGUAAGAAUGUUCCAACUUACCAAACAUUGAUUUUUGAGAAAAUACAAUUGAAAAAAAAUACUAUCACUUCAGCUAAGAAGAUCCAUAGCCUUCUGAAAUCUGAAGCACACUGUCUUCUCUUCAGUUUCUUGAUCCUCUGUUCAGCAGAUAGGCAAGGGCUCACCGUUCCACUCUUUGAGGCACUCGAGCAGCGCGUCGAUGUGCUUGCCCUGGUUCAUGGCGACGAACACCUUGUCCACCUCUUCCCCAGGAGACCGCGUCAUCUCUCCAGUCAAGUACUCAGUCCCAAGCUCCUUGCGCACAAACCGGUAGAGUGGGUACGACCGGCAUUCGGUGAUACGGUUCUGCUGCGCGGCGGUGCCGUUCUCCACUGAGGUCCGUGCAGCCUCGACCUCCCUUGGUAGAACUGCACGGAGCUCCUGCUCGAACGUGGCAAGCUUGGCAAACACCGACGUCUCCACAUCGCGCUCGGCCUCACCGUUGGCCAAAGCGUGCUCGACGAGAACUGCACGCAUCUUUUGC
rnacentral:lncRNA from 1 species